AGAGUUUGAUCAUGGCUCAGAUUGAACGCUGGCGGCAGGCCUAACACAUGCAAGUCGAGCGGUAGCACAGAGAGCUUGCUCUCGGGUGACGAGCGGCGGACGGGUGAGUAAUGUCUGGGAAACUGCCUAAUGGAGGGGGAUAACUACUGGAAACGGUAGCUAAUACCGCAUAAUGUCGCAAGACCAAAGUGGGGGACCUUCGGGCCUCAUGCCAUCAGAUGUGCCCAGAUGGGAUUAGCUAGUAGGUGGGGUAACGGCUCACCUAGGCGACGAUCCCUAGCUGGUCUGAGAGGAUGACCAGCCACACUGGAACUGAGACACGGUCCAGACUCCUACGGGAGGCAGCAGUGGGGAAUAUUGCACAAUGGGCGCAAGCCUGAUGCAGCCAUGCCGCGUGUGUGAAGAAGGCCUUCGGGUUGUAAAGCACUUUCAGCGGGGAGGAAGGCGGUGAGGUUAAUAACCUCAUCGAUUGACGUUACCCGCAGAAGAAGCACCGGCUAACUCCGUGCCAGCAGCCGCGGUAAUACGGAGGGUGCAAGCGUUAAUCGGAAUUACUGGGCGUAAAGCGCACGCAGGCGGUCUGUCAAGUCGGAUGUGAAAUCCCCGGGCUCAACCUGGGAACUGCAUUCGAAACUGGCAGGCUAGAGUCUUGUAGAGGGGGGUAGAAUUCCAGGUGUAGCGGUGAAAUGCGUAGAGAUCUGGAGGAAUACCGGUGGCGAAGGCGGCCCCCUGGACAAAGACUGACGCUCAGGUGCGAAAGCGUGGGGAGCAAACAGGAUUAGAUACCCUGGUAGUCCACGCCGUAAACGAUGUCGAUUUGGAGGUUGUGCCCUUGAGGCGUGGCUUCCGGAGCUAACGCGUUAAAUCGACCGCCUGGGGAGUACGGCCGCAAGGUUAAAACUCAAAUGAAUUGACGGGGGCCCGCACAAGCGGUGGAGCAUGUGGUUUAAUUCGAUGCAACGCGAAGAACCUUACCUGGUCUUGACAUCCACAGAACUUUCCAGAGAUGGAUUGGUGCCUUCGGGAACUGUGAGACAGGUGCUGCAUGGCUGUCGUCAGCUCGUGUUGUGAAAUGUUGGGUUAAGUCCCGCAACGAGCGCAACCCUUAUCCUUUGUUGCCAGCGGUUAGGCCGGGAACUCAAAGGAGACUGCCAGUGAUAAACUGGAGGAAGGUGGGGAUGACGUCAAGUCAUCAUGGCCCUUACGACCAGGGCUACACACGUGCUACAAUGGCAUAUACAAAGAGAAGCGACCUCGCGAGAGCAAGCGGACCUCAUAAAGUAUGUCGUAGUCCGGAUUGGAGUCUGCAACUCGACUCCAUGAAGUCGGAAUCGCUAGUAAUCGUAGAUCAGAAUGCUACGGUGAAUACGUUCCCGGGCCUUGUACACACCGCCCGUCACACCAUGGGAGUGGGUUGCAAAAGAAGUAGGUAGCUUAACCUUCGGGAGGGCGCUUACCACUUUGUGAUUCAUGACUGGGGUGAAGUCGUAACAAGGUAACCGUAGGGGAACCUGCGGUUGGAUCACCU
rnacentral:rRNA from 1 species